GUUAGGAAUAUUGGACAAUGGGCGCAAGCCUGAUCCAGCCAUGCCGCGUGAGUGAUGAAGGCCUUCGGGUUGUAAAGCUCUUUAGUCCACGAAUAUAAUGACUGUAGUGGAAGAAUAAGCCCCGGCUAACUUCGUGCCAGCAGCCGCGGUAAUACGAAGGGGGCGAGCGUUAUUCGGAAUCACUGGGCGUAAAGCGUGCGUAGGCUGGUUUGUAAGUCAGAAGUGAAAGCCCAGGGCUUAACACUGGAAUUGCUUUUGAAAAUACAAGACUCGAAUUCGGGAGAGGAUAGCGGAAUUGUCAGUGUAGCAGUGAAAUGCGUAGAUAUUGACAGGAACACCAGUGGCGCAAGCGGCUAUCUGGACCGAUAUUGACGCUGAGGCACGAAAGCGUGGGGAGCAAACAGGAUUAGAUACCCUAGUAGUCC
rnacentral:rRNA from 1 species